rnacentral:rRNA from 1 species
GAUGAACGCUGGCGGCGUGCCUAAUACAUGCAAGUCGAGCGAACGGGCGAGAAGCUUGCUUCUCUGAUGUUAGCGGCGGACGGGUGAGUAACACGUGGAUAACCUACCUAUAAGACUGGGAUAACUUCGGGAAACCGGAGCUAAUCCGGAAGAUUAUUUGAACCGGAUGGGUUAAAAGGUGAAGGAGGGCUUGGCGGUACCUAUUGAUUGAUCCGGGCUGGAUUAGCUAGUUGGUAAGGUAACGGCUUACCAAGGCAACGAUGCAUAGCCGACCUGAGAGGGUGAUCGGCCACACUGGAACUGAGACACGGUCCAGACUCCUACGGGAGGCAGCAGUAGGGAAUCUUCCGCAAUGGGCGAAAGCCUGACGGAGCAACGCCGCGUGAGUGAUGAAGGUCUUCGGAUCGUAAAACUCUGUUAUUAGGGAAGAACAUAUGUGUAAGUAACUGUGCACAUCUUGACGGUACCUAAUCAGAAAGCCACGGCUAACUACGUG